rnacentral:lncRNA from 1 species
AUUUGAUUGAUCGAACUAUCUAUUGAUGCUACUUUUAUUUGUGGGGUUUGGUUCCUUUUCAUUUUUCACUAUUCACAAGCACUCAUUGUAAGCCAAUGAUUAUGGCAGAAGAUUUAAAUAGUAGAGUUGGUAUGGAAGGAUUGAUUAGAGAAAAUAAUAAUCCUAGAAUGAAUGACAAUAGAGAAUGAUUAUUGGAGAUCUGGACUGACCAAGGGGGUGCCAACUAUGGCCAUCUCUAAUUUUGCUGAUUUUUAUAUAUGUUAUAUUGUUGUUUUCUCACAAAUCCAUGAUAAAAUAAUAUGGCACUCAAAUAUUCCUGAAAAAAAAAAGGGUUUAAAAUUUUUUGUUAUUUAUAUACUGAUUGAUAUUAACAAUUUAAUAAGUGCUGCCAUAGUGCAAUGCAUUCACUGUUCAAUUACUGUAAAGUGCGAAUGAAUGAUGUGGGUUCGAUUCCCCCCUUUUUUAAU